UACGUAGGGUGCGAGCGUUGUCCGGAAUUAUUGGGCGUAAAGAGCUCGUAGGCGGUGUGUCGCGUCGGUCGUGAAAACUUGGGGCUUAACCCUGAGCUUGCGGUCGAUACGGGCAUCACUUGAGUUCGGCAGGGGAGACUGGAACUCCUGGUGUAGCGGUGAAAUGCGCAGAUAUCAGGAAGAACACCGGUGGCGAAGGCGGGUCUCUGGGCCGAAACUGACGCUGAGGAGCGAAAGCGUGGGGAGCAAACAGG
rnacentral:rRNA from 1 species